AGCAGCCGCGGUAAUUCCAGCUCCAAUAGCGUAUAUUAAAGUUGUUGCAGUUAAAAAGCUCGUAGUUGAAUUUCGGGAUCAGUACGCUGGUCAUGCCUUUGGUAUGCACUGGUGUCACUGGUUUCUCCCUUCUGAAGAUCCGUGAUGUCAUUAAUUUGGUGUCGCGGGGAAUCAGGACUGUUACUUUGAAAAAUUAGAGUGUUUAAAGCAGGCUCACGCUUGAAUACAUUAGCAUGGAAUAAUGAAAUAGGACGUUUGACCCUAUUUUGUUGGUUUCUAGGAUCGACGUAAUGAUUAAUAGGGAUAGUUGGGGGCAUUAGUAUUCAAUUGUCAGAGGUGAAAUUCUUGGAUUUAUUGAAGACUAACUACUGCGAAAGCAUUUGCCAAGGAUGUUUUCAUUAAUCAAGAACGAAAGUUAGGGGAUCGAAGACGAUCAGAUACCGUCGUAGUCUUAACCAUAAACUAUGCCGACUAGGGAUCGGAUGAUGUAAUUUUAUAAUGACU
rnacentral:rRNA from 1 species